rnacentral:lncRNA from 1 species
AGUUCUAUCUCUUUUUCGAACUCAGAGAUUGUCUGAAUCACAGCAAUGACGGAAUCAGUUACCCUGAGUAUUUAAGGGCUCCAGCCCCUGUUUCUACAGAGAGUAAGCAGGAGAAUCAAACUGAUAUGUGCUGAGCACUUUACCUAGAAGACCUAAUCCUCCUAACAGGCCUAUGAGCUCCUGUCUAUAGAUAACAGCGAGCACCAGCCACUGUAAGACGCUGCCAUUUGUUUCACAUGCAAGAGCUCAACGUGACUUCAAAGGUGACACUAUUCCCGACCUGGCCAGCAAUGACUGAAACAAGGAGAAAGGACACAUUCAAGGGCUCCUCAAUGUCAAGGACAUACUUCUUCCUUUUGUCGAGCUUCUCAAUAGCCAGGGGACUUUAUAUGUCGAAUAUGCUAUGAUUACACAGUUGAUGGCGUAAAGGGGAUUCACACUUUGCAACUGUUAUGACUCAGGAAGGAUGUGUGAGCACAGCAGGAUUCCUAUCAUUUCAACUUCUCCUGGUAAAGUGUCUGCUGGGCUGGCAGCAGGCCCCGUGGUGCUGACUGAUGGUGACUGGCAGCUGGCGAUGCCCACGGCAGCAGUGUUGGUGCACCCAGCACCGGGUCAUGGGGAGGGCAAAGGGAUGUCUUCUGGGCCUCCAAGCCACCAACCCUGGGUGCUAGGACUUUGAAAAUGCAGCAGAGGCUGGGCACGGUGGCUCACACCUGUAAUCCCUGCAUUUUGGGAGGCCAAGCGGGGGUGGAUCACUGGAGGUCAGGAGUUCGAGACCAGCUUGGCCAACAUGGUGAAACCCCACCUCUACCAAAAAUACAAAAAAUUAGCCGGGCGUCAUGGCGCAUGCCUGUAAUCCCAGCUACUCGGGAGGCUGAGGAAGGAGAAUUGCUUGAACCCGGGAGGUGGAGGUUGCAGUGAGCCGAGAUUGCGCCACCGCACUCCAGCCCGGAUGACAGAGCAAGACUCCGUCUAAAAAAACAAAAAAAAAACAAAAUGCAGCAGAGUGGAUGAUAAUAAAGAUCACCUUCUUAGAACACACUAGCUCACACUUUUGCAGGGACUCACCAUAGGCAUUUGGCUACAUUAUUUCAUCUGACCAUUUUAUUCUCACAACAAUUCUGUCAAUCUCUUUUUGUUAUUCUCAUUUUAUAUAGGAGGAAACUAAAAUUCAUUAUGGUAGGCAUUUGGCUAACGUAUUUCAUCUGAUGAUUUUAUUCUCACAACAAUUCUGUCAGUCCUUUUUUGUUAUUCUCAUUUUUUUAUAUGAGGAAACUAAAAUUCAGAGAGGGUAAGGGACUUUAGCCAAGGCUGCCCAGCCAGACAAAGGCAAGAUUUGAAUCUAGGGCAUCUGGUUUUUAUGCUGACUGCUCUUUUCACUACACCAGAGAUGAAAACCCUACCCUAGCUUUGCAUCGCUGUUCAGGGGAAGACAUUUCCAGGGCAUAGACCUUAAGGACAAGUGAUAGGAGACCAAGGUCAUCCUGGAAGAAAGGGAGGCAGCCAGCCAGGGCUCUUUGGGCCUGUCAUCAUUUUGCAAAACUUGAAAGAAAGAGAAAACCUAUGUUGCAUUUCUCUCAUUAUUAACCUCCUCCCUUCCCCUAGACUCUAAUCCUCUGAUCUCGCCUUUCCUAAAAGGUAGGCUCCCUUUGGUAAUGGAAGUUGAUAGCAAAAUCUGAUUUGCUCUGCAGAAAUCCACUUCAUAGGAAAAGCUGGCAGCGCUCAUCUUUUUCACAGAGAGUCCGCAUAUUUCCAUCCCGUCUCACACGCCCGCA